GCCCCAACGGCCGUCCGGCGGGGGCGGGGCCUGUCAUGGCGGCCUCGAGAGUCAAUUCCAGGAACCCUGAGGAUGAACUGACCCUUUUAUUCACUAUUCCACAUCGAGCUGCAAACCCAUCAGAUGGAACCAUGUGAUCAUUGUGGCCACCAGCUGACCCCACAGCCACCUUGUGCCUCCCUUGGACCCACCCAGGAAUUUCUGAGCCUUCUUUAUGGGCCUGGCAGGCUAGGCACUAAUUGCAUGUUGACUGACCAGCUACUCUUCUGGGUCUGGAAUGAGGCUUCAAGGACCAAGGAACUGUGGAGGAUCCUAGCUCCCCGACCAGGGAUAGAACCCAGGCCCUCAGCAGUGAAAGCGCAGAGUCCUAACCACUGGACCACCAGGGAAUUCCCUGAAAGCUCAUUCUUGUCUGAAGAGUACUGUUCUGUGUGGCCCCAGAUAAAUUUUUCCAGGCAGCUGUGUCUGAGACGCUGGUCCUCCUGUAAAGCCUCCCAGACGACCCUGGGCACACAGACAUGGAAACAGUACUAUCUCUGCUGAUCCGAGCUGGAGUUCCGAAUGGAAUCUGGGUGGCCAGAGAAGGACUUUAUCUGCAAAGCCAUUGCUGGGCACAAAGGAGAGAUAGAUGAGCUGGCCUACAUCUCAACCAGAGUACUGGUUUGAUGGGUGGGAGAAGUCCGUGGUGUGCACCGUGUCGUCAGAUGGCACCGUGUGUGCCUGGGAUCUGCAAGAGGGCACGGAGAUCUGUCGAGCCCUCUACAGCCUGCAGCUCUGGUGAAUUUGGUGACUUACCCUCGGCUGCAACUGGUUGUCACCGUGGACGAGCAGGGACUGAUCAAAGUAUGGAAAGCAGAGAACGGGUGUGAGCAUGCCUCCUGCCUGCCUACAUACUCGUCUUCAUUGGAGGCCUGUGACUUUCCAGAAGGCCCCCUCCUGCUGUCUCCACGAGGGCCCAACUCAAAGGAAAACUGAGGCAUGUUCGACAGAAUGCAAGCAUUUGCCUCAGAUGAUGAAGGCCUUCUGCUGCCAGGACAUUUGUUUUAGAGGUGAUUCUUGGGCAUUGGGAGGGAGCAUUUGGCCAGAGAGAAAUGGCAAAAGUGGGUGUUAGCUGGCAGAUUGAGGAAGUAGCUUUCACCUGGGGGCAGUAUCCUCCUCCUGGAGGGAAGGAGGUCUUUGCAAGUGU